AGAGUUUGAUCAUGGCUCAGGACAACGCUGGCGGCGUGCUUAACACAUGCAAGUCGAACGGUGAACCAGAGCUUGCUCUGGGGAUCAGUGGCGAACGGGUGAGUAACACGUGGGCAACCUGCCCCAGACUCUGGGAUAACCUCGGGAAACCGAUGCUAAUACCGGAUACGACCACUUCGGACAUCCGACGGUGGUGGAAAGUUUUUCGGUCUGGGAUGGGCCCGCGGCCUAUCAGCUAGUUGGUGGGGUAAUGGCCUACCAAGGCGACGACGGGUAGCCGGCCUGAGAGGGCGACCGGCCACACUGGAACUGAGACACGGUCCAGACUCCUACGGGAGGCAGCAGUGGGGAAUAUUGCACAAUGGGCGAAAGCCUGAUGCAGCGACGCCGCGUGAGGGACGACGGCCUUCGGGUUGUAAACCUCUUUCAGCAGGGACGAAGCGAAAGUGACUGUACCUGCAGAAGAAGCACCGGCUAACUACGUG
rnacentral:rRNA from 1 species